UGUUUAUUAAGGAGAUCAAAACACAUUCUUGAAAAAUGCAUUUUCAGACAAUGAAAACUCAUAUUAAUAUAUCUGUCUCCUUCAUUAUACAUGGUGCUUUGCAUGAUCUAACACAGCUUUUAUUGGAUAUGAUAUUUUAAUUUUUUAAAAUAUUUGGUUCAUAUUUGAUCAUUCUUUUUUUCCGUUAUUAUGUUUAUGUCUGUAUUCAGCAUAUUUUCAUUUUAUUAUUGAUACUAUGUUGUAUUUCUUAAUCCUCUAAAUACCUUUUUUUAAAACAGGACGUCCCUUACUGUUUUCCCCUGCCCUUUGACCUUGGCUCUGCUGAAUCCGUCAGUGCUGGAUGCACCUGCACAGAUGACACAAGACAGUCUCCUGCGGAAUGAUGGCCUGGGAACAAGUCUCGAAAUCACAGAGCUGAUUGAUUAAAGGUCUGCGAGAAUGCAGUCAGUGGAUGGUCCAUGACAAGAGAAGUGCAGAAAAUGGUCGCCUGUCUUUGGGAUAAACCUCGGCUGUGCGGGGUGCUAGCUCAGGAGACGCCAUCCCAUUUUCUGGAAGAGAAGAAAUGCAGAGCAGACCUUCCUCCGUGCCCAGGGUCCUCAUGGCCAAAUUCCUUCCUCUGA
rnacentral:lncRNA from 1 species